rnacentral:lncRNA from 1 species
CAAGCAUAAAAUUUCGUAUCUUCAUUAUGAAAUUUUCCUACAAACAUGCUUUUUGGCUGACCAUUGUAUUAGGCUCGAACUCAAAUACAAUCACCAAUGAUUGGUUACUCGGUAUCCUCUGUCAUCGUCAUGGUGUAGGUAGUUCUUCAACUCGGGGUCGCCUUCGUGAGCUAAUUGGUUGAGAUAAUCUGACUGGCAUAGUAUCUAUCUCUUGGCUAUCUAUAUCAGAAGACCAAACUAUGGCUACUGAAAAAAUUCUACUUUAUCUUGGACAAAAU